AUCAACCACAUCAAGUAUAACUGUAGAUUAUUGUCGUGUACUGGACAGCAGCUUUUUUCCAAAAUGUUGAAUCUUAUUCUGGUUCUCUCUGGAGUUUGUACAGUGGGCGUGACUUUACUUGAUUUCUACUCUUACUCCCUGGCUGCUGGGGACGGCAGUGGGACUGAAUAUUCUACUGCACAUGCGGGUCGCAUCACUGGUAUCAGAAUCUGGGAAUACAGUAACGCACACAUUGGUGGAAUCCAGCUGAGUUAUGAUGGUAACUGGACAACACUUGUUUGUGCAAACUAUGGCACUCCGAUGG